CAGUCGCCACGGUAAUACGAAGGGGGCUAGCGUUGUUCGGAAUUACUGGGCGUAAAGGGCGCGUAGGCGGCCAUUCAAGUUAGAUGUGAAAGCCCUGGGCUCAACCUAGGAAUUGCAUUUGAUACUGUUUGGCUUGAGUUCGGGAGAGGUGAGUGGAAUUCCCAGUGUAGAGGUGAAAUUCGUAGAUAUUCGGAAAAACACCAGUGGCGAAGGCGACUCGCUGGACAAGUAUUGACGCUGAGGUGCGAAAGCGUGGGGAGCAAACAGGAUUAGAGACCCCUGUAGUCCCUGUCUCUUAUAC
rnacentral:rRNA from 1 species